rnacentral:rRNA from 1 species
GACGAACGCUGGCGGCGCGCCUAACACAUGCAAGUCGAGCGAUGAAAUUUUAACCGAUCUCUUCGGAGAGAAGAUAAAAUGGAUUAGCGGCGGACGGGUGAGUAACACGUGAGAAACCUGCCUUUCACAAGGGGAUAGCCUCGGGAAACCGGGAUUAAUACCCUAUGACACAUUUCCUUCGCAUGGAAGAAAUGUUAAAACUCCGGUGGUGAAAGAUGGUCUCGCGCCUGAUUAGCUAGUUGGUGGGGUAACGGCCCACCAAGGCCAUGAUCAGUAACCGGCCUGAGAGGGUGAACGGUCACAUGGGAACUGAGACACGGUCCAAACUCCUACGGGAGGCAGCAGUGGGGAAUAUUGCACAAUGGAGGAAACUCUGAUGCAGCGACGCCGCGUGAGCGAUGAAGGCUUUCGAGUCGUAAAGCUCUGUCCUAUGGGAAGAUAAUGACGGUACCAUAGGAGGAAGCCCCGGCUAACUACGUG